ncrna:unclassified sequences RT-3 RNA
AAUCGGCCUACGACACCAGGCACGUGUGCCCACCGUCGAGCCGAGGGGAAUGAGCCGCAGCAACAGCAGCCAUUAGGAUGGAAAGCUGAAAAAGCACUCGUUGGGCAGGGUUUGGUAGGUCGCUUCGGCGAUUCGAAGAAGUCGGGCUCA